GACAGUGCUGUUGGUGCCCCCCGGGUUGGGGCACCCCGAGGACUCCAGCGCGCACCGAAAGGAUUAUUCGGGGAGAUCCUCGGGGUGCCCGGCCCUGGGGAGCUCAAAGCAAGGUCCCUGCCAUGGAUUCAGGCAUUGCUGAGAGUAUCCCAGGUGUAGCUGUCCAUGCUAGACAGGGAGCUCUCUAAUGGGCUGUAAUUGGGUGAUAAAAGUGGUGCUCCAAGUGCCAAAGCAGUGUGGGAUUGGGAUUAAGAAACGAGCAGUGAUGGUACAAUUGGCUGUUUUCUCUUGAAUGUAAUGGUAAGAGCUGCAGGAGUGCAAGGUGUGUGUUCCAGUCCCCAGCAUUUGGUUUGCACGUGUCCUGGUCAGACACAGGUCCAACUUCCUCAGUCCUUAACACAAGAGAAGGAGAAUUAAGGACUGGCAGUGAUAAGGUGAUUGGUGUGACAGGGGUUAAAUUGGGAAAACAUUGCGUAAUUCCUCAGUUUCCCUAUUUGCCAAACUCAGCCAAACCUGUGCUAGCAAGAGAUUGAGUGGAAAAGUUGAGGCAGAAAUGAAAUUGAAAACUGGGGAUAUUGAAACUGUAAUUGCUGGAACUAAAUGUGUCAGAGCAGCAGCUCUUGUUGUACCGGGAAUAACUCCUGUCAGCAGCAAGGUCCCGACUGAAGUGGCAGCUGCAGUUGUUCCUGUGGUGUGGGCCAGUGGAACUGCAGGAGAGUGGAAGAGGGCAGAACCUGUAGGUAUUACCCCUAAUGUGGGAUCUAUAUGGGUAAGGCAAAGCCAGUAUCCUUUAAAAUCAGAAUGCCAGCUUGGAUUGGUUGCAGUAACAGCUAAAUUGGCUCAUCCUGGUUUGCUUGUAGGAUGUGAAUGCAAGAACCUGCCAAGGAACCAAUGGCCAAGAUGAUUGAUGAGUGCAGGACCUGAGAGAACCACCUUGAAUGACAAUCUCAAGGAGUUUGCAGUAUUGGAUUUAAAAGAUGGCCUUUGCUGCAUCUCCUUGAGCAAGGAAAGCCAAGAAACCUUUGCCUUUGAAGGAGAAAAUCUGGAAAGGGGAAAGGAAGAAGAGAAGCCACUUGACUCCUGAGCCCCAGACAGCCCAUGAACUGCCUUUCUGGGAAUGGUAGGACGGGGUGGACUCUGGAUUGCUCCCUCUGGAUGUGUGGCUCUCCCCUCAGGAACUGCAGGAACUCCUGGUGCCGCCUGGGCCGAUGGAUUGGACGCCCCAGCCCCUCCGUUCCUGCCCAGCCACUGGGGCCGUGUCGAGUGGUGGCACUGCCAGCCCUGCAGGGGAAGUGGGAAGGGCCUUUGCAGGUCCUGUGGGUCACAUCUAUAGCAGCUAAAGUUGCAGAAAAAGGACCUGGGGUCUGUUAUUCCUGAGUUAAGAAAGCUCCUUUUGAUUGGUGAGCAGAACAAAGUGGAUCCUUCAGAGUUCCCAUCCGUGUUUGUGUCUCAGCCUGUGUUAUGAUUCAGGGCUGUAGCUGUUGUUGUCACUGAGGAGUCAAACUCUGCUUUAAAUAAUGAGACCCUGGCCUAAUGGCCAAGUGUGAAGAAUAAAGAGGGAAUGAUAUCUGAGUGUUGAGAUGUAACAAGAGCUAAUCCUUUUUGCAGUAGGAUGUAGCCUGGAAACUGCACAGAGCUGAGCCAAGGGAUUUAAAGGGACUAACCAAGGGAGGUGAAGAAAGAAGGAAGAAGGGAAGUGAGGCAGCAGCCAAGCAGCACCAAGUGCCUGUGUAAGCAGGAACUCAGUGGCGUUGUGGUCCCCAGGAAGUGUUGCCCAGGACUAGGCAAGUGACUUCAGGCUUUGUCACCCCCAGAGCAAGGUGGAAGCCCAGCAGUUUACUGGUUUGUUUGGCUUUUGGUGACCAGAAGGUCCUCCUUUGGGACCAAUCCUUGGCCCGUGCCAUAAAGUCCCAGGGCAGAAGUGUGAGUUUGAGUGGGAAAUGAGCAGCCAGGAGGGUUUGAAACAGCUCAGGGAGCAAUUCAACAGGCUCCGGACCUGUGGCCAAUACGAGCCAGAGAGGGGCAACUAAAGGUUCCUGCCAGUGCUAAUGAUGCCACUUGGAGCCUCUGGCAGAAGUAGGGUAAUGUAAGGGGGGAACUUUUGAAUGAGAUGAUCAAUGGAGCAUAGAGGCGUGAGAAAGAAAUCCUAUUAGGAUGUGAAACCGGCUCGAGUAUGGUACAAUGGAACUUGAUGGCACAAGCUAAUUGUAAGGUCCAUUGUGCUUUUCAGCAAGUCAGCCUGAUAUCCCCUGUUAUGAGAGCUGAGUUCCUCCUUGGUUCUGCUACAGCUUGCCAGAUAGAUACCUCUCCCCUUGAAACACAAGGGUAGAGGUCAUCCAUAGAGGUGAGAAAGAUGAUGGUGAGAGGAAGAUGAUGUGGGCAGGGGUCGCUGGCCCCUUGCCCUACAAGUAGGGCAGGCCCAGACUGUUGCCACCAGGCAAUGAUCAGGCGGGGUUUGGCUGCCAUUCAGGCCUCCCCUUACACUGCGUCCUGGCCCUACGUGGUGUAAUGUGGAGCUGAUCAAAUGGGCUGUGAGGACUGCUGAGCUGAGCGAUCCUCAUCCUGCCCCCGAGCCUGUGUUGCUCCGCGGGGACGCCCGCUAAGGGAUGGGCACCGACCAGCUGCUGCAGAUCCUGACAGCCCUGCCUGGCUGUGGGGGUGGGCACAGUUUAGUGAUGGGAAGCCACCGAGAAGGAAGACUUUAAAUAUCCUUUAGUGUUCCUUUAAUACCCUUUAUUUAGUAUUCAUAAUAUUUUCCCUUUAAUGUCCCCUUUUACUAACCAAAUAUCAUGUCAAUAGUUACCCAUAAUAUUGUGUUAAGAUCCUUUUUGGUAUCCCUUUGACUCCCUUUUUACUAGUUAAUAUUAUACUGUAUUGAAUGCUGUUCUUAGUAUUUGUUUUAAUGCCACAUGAUAAGGUCGUUCAUUUGUAUCCUUUUUAACUUUUUGAUUCU